AGCUCAGUGUUUCAAUGGUAAAGUGCUCGUCGUGGAGCCAGAGGGUCCUGGGUUCGAUCCCCAACGGGGUCG
rnacentral:tRNA from 1 species